UAGUUCCUCCGAAAUAGUAUG
rnacentral:piRNA from 1 species